AGCUUGGGGCUGCAGCAGUGCGGGCCCCCGGAGUAGAAAGCCCCGGGGGUCAAGAAAGGAAGGCCAGGCCGCGGAGUCCCUGAGCAGCCGUUCUUGGAUUUGGGGGAGCCUUGCCCCCCCCACCUCGUCUUCAGACGUCCCCUCUUCAUCCCCCCCAGCCCCGGCCGCUGACGGGAGGAGGCGGCGGCGGCGGCGGCGGGGGGCUGAGGGGCGCCGCCAUGCCUCUCCCGCGGUGAAGCGUCCCUGCCGUGAGGAGCCGCUCGGUCUCCCUGGUGAUGUCCCCCAGGCGGCAGGCGAAAGCGACUCACUCGAGCCCUGGGCAGCGAUGGCAGAGGAACAACAACAGCCGCCACAGCAGCCUGAUGCCCAUCAGCAGCUUCCCCCCAGCGCCCCCAACUCGGGGGUGGCUCUGCCAGCCCUUGUGCCUGGGCUGCCAGGGACAGAGGCCAGCGCGCUGCAACACAAGAUCAAGAACUCCAUCUGGCUGCUUUUCCUGUGACUUUAUACAGGCUUAUGACUUCCUUAAAGCAGCAGCAAACAACCUUGGAGAAAAGUUUUUGCAGUAAAACAAAGAGUUGAUCUUUCAGUGACCUAAAGAGCUCAUUCAUAGUCUAAGAAAAAAAGUC